ACCCACAAGCUCGAGGCUGCUGCCACAUGGAAGGCCGGGAGAGAGACGGGCGGCCAGGACAGGGGCCGGCUGUUUGCAGGGGAGGCAUGUGUGUGGAGAACGCCUAGGAGCACGUGGGUGGCCACGAACCCUGACCGUGCAGGUCGAGAAACUCUUCCAGGAUAGUAUGUGGUGGAUCGUGUCUGCCUAAAAGUGAGUCAAUUCUGCCCAUGAGCAAGUCUUCCAGACUGUUGGGCCCUAGACGAAGAACGACCUGCAAGCCGGGAAUUCUCUGCAAAGGACAAUGUCAAAACUCAUCUGAGGCAUCCAUGUCUGUCCUACAGCAAGCUUCCCCGUGACACUGGAGGGACCUAGGCUCCCGGCAGUUUUCAGGAGCCAGCCCUGGGCUAGGGGCUCCACAGUACUUGCAAACAAAGAGUUCCAAAAACCCAAUUUGCAUUCACCCAUGUAAGAAGUGCCUGAUAAGGAAGUAGCGUCUCUAUUUCCUGGGAUGGGGAUUUUUGCUCUGGGGUAUCAGAUAAUAUUAUUUGUAAGCUAGUCAUCACCAUCCUUCGUUUUCUUCUGCCUUAGCAGAUUCAGGUAGAUUUAUGGCACUGACUAUCACUGCUUUAAAGUUAUCAAAAAUCACUUUAAAAGAAAAUGACGAGAUUGCAGAAAAGUGGAGUUUAUUGAAAAUCUGACUGUGGUCCCUUGAAGUUACUGCUUACAGGAUCAGCUGACUUUGGAGAGAAAGCCAUUAUCAGAAUCAAGCAGCAAAUUACUGGCCCCAGAGUUCCUAGCUUGCUACAAUAUCAGCUGUCUAAACCAAAACAAAGCAUUUUGUUGAAGCGGGGAAAAAAAGGCAGAUCAAAGAGUAGCUCAUCCACGUGUCAGUUAGAUUAGCAUUUGAAAUUCCUUGUGAAUGUAUCCACAUGUUUAUGACAGGCAUGGUGUUCAGCUUUAGCAGCAUUAUGGGGAGUUACGAAAUUCUCUGUGUAAAAAUAGCGAGGUCAUGAGGAAACCACUCUUGCUGUGUAAGUCCUGACAAGCCAUGCCAACACCGUCACGCUGGGACUGGCCUUCGGAUGGCACGGGGAGGGCAGAGUCACGCAGGCACACGUGACACGCCCUUGCUCUGCGGCCGGUGGGAUCCCUGGUAGCUUCGCAGUCAUGUGGGGCUUAGUCACAGGAGCAUAGGUCAGGUCCUGCUGAGCCCCCUUUCCAAGUGUGCGGUGCGCAAGCCGCCCAACCCAGGGGCCGGCAGCUGGGACAGGGCGAGCAGUGGGCUGCAGGGAGGAAGUGGGGAAGGCCUGGGGGCAGACGUGCCUGGGCGAGGGCCUUCCUAUUCCUGCUCUCCCUGUCUGCUCUGAGGAUGUGGGCCCUGACCUCCUUAUCUGUAAAGCCCUGAUGGUGGAUGCAGCUUCCUGGAGCUGCUGUGGAAACCACUGGUUAAUAUUUUACAGGUCGCUGGGUUACAAACUGUCAAGUCAGAGGAACACUACACGCUGGCACCAGCUGCUCCUCUGUAGCCACCCGUAUGUCCCUCCUGAGCCGUGGCAGGGAGUGACACCUUUGCCAAUACCACCAUCCACAGGGUCAACAUGACCCCGGGCCCUGGUCUUAGUAACUAGAGGAAACACACCGACUUCAGGCAUUGCUCACAGCCAGAGCUGGUGUUAACUGAAGAAUGUUUUAAUUCACCUGCCGAGGAACUCACACAUUCCUUGCCAGCAGGCACAAUGGCUCUUGAUAGCCUGUGUGCAGGGAACAAAUGUGUUGGCCCCAUGCUCAGGCCAUGCGUACACAUAAGAGCUGUCGUCUGGGUCUUGGCUAAAAUAAACUGAAUCUUCCCGAAAACACAGGUUCCUAUUACGGAGUCCAUGAUAGGAAAGAUGUUCAGCUCUGCUGCUAUCAUGGGGAAGUAGAGUGGUUGAUCUGAAAUCUCCAGAUUCUAAUCAAGGAGAAGAAUGCUGUGCUGUGGCCACAGACCCCACCGUGGUCUCAAAGAAAACCUGGAUCAGAGCCCAUCUUCUGAUCAGUGCCACACCUUCACAUGGGUGUGCAGCAUUUUACUGGGUGACUGCCUUUCAGAACCUUCUGGAAUUUUCCAGAUCCUUCCAGAUUGCAAUAAAGAAAAAGAAUGC
rnacentral:lncRNA from 1 species